rnacentral:rRNA from 1 species
UACGUAGGGGGCAAGCGUUAUCCGGAUUUACUGGGUGUAAAGGGAGCGUAGACGGAAUUGCAAGUCUGAUGUGAAAAUCCGGGGCCCAACCCCGGAACUGCAUUGGAAACUGUAUUUCUAGAGUGUCGGAGAGGCAAGUGGAAUUCCUGGUGUAGCGGUGAAAUGCGUAGAUAUCAGGAGGAGCACCAGUGGCGAAGGCGGCUUGCUGGACGGUGACUGACGCUGAGGCUCGAAAGCGUGGGGAGCAAACAGG